UCCCGGAUGAUGUAAUGGCAGCAUCUGGGGUUUUGGUCCCCAUCGUCCAGGUUCGAGUCCUGGUCCGGGAG
rnacentral:tRNA from 1 species